CCCUUAGAUGUCCGGGCCGCACGCGCGCUACACUGAAGGAAUCAGCGUGGCUUUCUCCCUGACCCGAAAGGGUUGGGAAACCCGUUGAAUCUCCUUCGUGAUAGGGAUUGGGGCUUGAAAUUGUUCCCCAUGAACGAGGAAUUCCCAGUAAGCGCGAGUCAUAAGCUCGCGUUGAUUACGUCCCUGCCCUUUGUACACACCGCCCGUCGCUACUACCGAUUGAACGGUUUAGUGAGGGCCUCGGAUUGGUCUCGGCCCGCUCUUUACCGGGCGGCGCCGUUGGUCGAGAAGACGCUCGAACUUGAUCGUUUAGAGGAAGUAAAAGUCGUAACA
rnacentral:rRNA from 1 species